CCUUUCAGCGUCCAAAUUACUCCACCUCCAACCUGAAGAAGCAUCUUAAAGACGGUGAUUGCCUGGUACUCCCUGUGCCCCUUUCACCUGUCUGUGACGACACCCCAGAGGAAACCCUCAAUGUGCUGUGCUGAGCUGAACCUGGAGUGGCAUGGCUAGGGGGAAGGGGAUCUAGGAGAUGCCCUGGAAGACACCGGCGUUUCAUCUGAAUCUGGCUGGGCCGAGCAGAUAUGGACAAAAGCAGGCUGUGCAGCCGACCCGAGUUUGCAACUCCACUGAAUGACCAAGUGCAUCGAUCUCUCCUCUCCUUCGCCCUCCUCCCAAAUCAAUAGCAUCAAAAGCUCUCGUAUUCACAACAAUGUCAGAAUAAUGACACCAACCAGGGACUUAUGGGCUGGAGAGGCCACCAUUGACUGACCCGAGGCCUCCAUCCUGGCUCUGCACUCUUUACUUUCCAUGCCGCCUUGUGAUU